rnacentral:rRNA from 1 species
UACGAAGGGGGCUAGCGUUGCUCGGAAUGACUGGGCGUAAAGGGCGCGUAGGCGGACGGCUUUGUCGGGCGUGAAAUUCCAGGGCUUAACCUUGGGGCUGCGUUCGAGACGGGUUGUCUAGAGUUUGGAAGAGGGUCGUGGAAUUCCCAGUGUAGAGGUGAAAUUCGUAGAUAUUGGGAAGAACACCGGUGGCGAAGGCGGCGACCUGGUCCUUGACUGACGCUGAGGCGCGAAAGCGUGGUGAGCAAACAGG